UUAUGAGAGUUUGAUCCUGGCUCAGGGUGAACGCUGGCGGUAUGGUUAAGGCAUGCAAGUCGUACGAACUUGUUUCACUUAUUCCUGGCUUCGGCCAGAAAUUCCGAAACAAGUUAGUGGCAAACGGGAGAGUAACACCUUGGUAACGUACCUCAAAGACAGGGACAACCCUUAGAAAUUCGGGCUAAUACCUGAUAGUCAUGGGGGGAAAUAAUUCAUUCCCAUGUAAAGCUUGAGAUUUAUCUCUUGCGCUUUGAGAGCGGCCUAGGUCCUAUCAGCUUGAUGGUGAGGUAACGGCUCACCAUGGCUACGACGGGUAUGGGGUGUGAGAGCAUGACCCCACUCACUGGAACUGAGACACGGUCCAGACUCCUACGGGAGGCAGCAGCCGCGAAUAUUCCACAAUGGGCGAAAGCCUGAUGGAGCAAUACCGCGUGAAGGAUGAAGCAUUUCGGUGUGUAAACUUCUUUUAUAUAGGAAAAACAAAUGAUUGUACUAUAUGAAUAAGGGGCCGCCAACUUCGUGCCAGCAGCGGCGGUAAUACGAAGGCCCCGAGCGUUACCCGGAUUUACUGGGCGUAAAGCGUCCGCAGGUGGUUUGUUAAGUCACUCGUUAAAUCUUUCGGCUCAACCGAAAGGCCGCGGGUGAAACUGGCAAACUAGAGGCUGGGAGAGGCGAGCGGAAUUACUGGUGUAGGGGUAAAAUCCGUUUAUAUCAGUAAGAACACCAAAUGCGAAGGCAGCUCGCUGGAACAAGCCUGACACUCAGGGACUAAAGCGUGGGGAGCGAAGCGGAUUAGAUACCCGCGUAGUCCACGCCCUAAACGAUCGGUGCUAGAUAUUGGGAGUAUCGACCCUCUCAGUGUCGUUCAAAAAAGCUAACGCGUUAAGCACCGCGCCUGAGGAGUACGACCGCAAGGUUAAAACUCAAAGGAAUAGACGGGGGUCCGCACAAGCGGUGGAUCAUGUGGUUUAAUUCGUCGCUAAGCGAAAAACCUUACCAGGGCUUGACAUAUACCUGCACAUCUUGUGAAAGCAAGACUUCUUCGAGAGUGGUAUACAGGUGCUGCAUGGUCCUCGUCAGCUCGUGCCGUGAGGUGUUCCCUUAAGUGGGGUAACGAGCGCAACCCUUGUCGUGUGUUACAUAUCACACGAGACUGCCCUGGCAACGGGGAGGAAGGAGGGGACGACGUGAGAUCAGCAUGGCCCUUACGCCCUGGGCUACACACGUGAUACAAUGGCUGGUACAACGGGUCGCAAAACCGCAAGGUGAAGCUAAUCCCAUCAAAACCGGUCUCAGUUCGGAUAGAGGUCUGCAAUUCGACCUCUUGAAGUCGGAAUCGCUAGUAAACGCGAAUCAGCACGUCGCGUUGAAUACGUUCUCGGACCUUGUACUCACCGCCCGUCAAGUGAAGGGAGUUGGGAAUACCCGAAGUUCGUAU
rnacentral:rRNA from 1 species